rnacentral:rRNA from 1 species
UUAAUUGAAGAGUUUGAUCAUGGCUCAGAUUGAACGCUGGCGGCAGGCCUAACACAUGCAAGUCGAGCGGCAGCACAGAGAAACUUGUUUCUCGGGUGGCGAGCGGCGGACGGGUGAGUAAUGCCUGGGAAAUUGCCCUGAUGUGGGGGAUAACCAUUGGAAACGAUGGCUAAUACCGCAUGAUAGCUUCGGCUCAAAGAGGGGGACCUUCGGGCCUCUCGCGUCAGGAUAUGCCCAGGUGGGAUUAGCUAGUUGGUGAGGUAAGGGCUCACCAAGGCGACGAUCCCUAGCUGGUCUGAGAGGAUGAUCAGCCACACUGGAACUGAGACACGGUCCAGACUCCUACGGGAGGCAGCAGUGGGGAAUAUUGCACAAUGGGCGCAAGCCUGAUGCAGCCAUGCCGCGUGUGUGAAGAAGGCCUUCGGGUUGUAAAGCACUUUCAGUCGUGAGGAAGGUGGUAGUGUUAAUAGCACUAUCAUUUGACGUUAGCGACAGAAGAAGCACCGGCUAACUCCGUGCCAGCAGCCGCGGUAAUACGGAG